GAUGAACGCUAGCGGCAGGCUUAAUACAUGCAAGUCGAGGGGGAUCAGUUGGGUAGCAAUACCCGGCUGUGAGACCGGCAAACGGGUGCGGAACACGUACGCAACCUUCCCAAAACUGGUGAAUAGCCCUCCGAAAGGAGGAUUAAUACACCGUAACAUAAUGAAGUGGCAUCACUUUAUUAUUAUAGCUCCGGCGGUUUUGGAUGGGCGUGCGCCUGAUUAGGUAGUUGGCGGGGUAACGGCCCACCAAGCCUGCGAUCAGUAACUGGUGUGAGAGCACGACCAGUCACACGGGCACUGAGACACGGGCCCGACUCCUACGGGAGGCAGCAGUAAGGAAUAUUGGUCAAUGGACGAAAGUCUGAACCAGCCAUGCCGCGUGAAGGAUGACGGCCCUCUGGGUUGUAAACUUCUUUUAUCUGGGACGAAAAAAGGUCAUUCUUGAUCACUUGACGGUACCAGAGGAAUAAGCACCGGCUAACUCCGUGCCAGCAGCCGCGGUAAUACGGAGGGUGCAAGCGUUAUCCGGAUUUACUGGGUUUAAAGGGUGCGUAGGUGGGUCUGUAAGUCAGUGGUGAAAUCUCCGAGCUUAACUCGGAAACUGCCAUUGAUACUAUAGGUCUUGAAUUAUCUGGAGGUAA
rnacentral:rRNA from 1 species